UUUCCCGGCCCAUGCACCA
rnacentral:ncRNA from 2 species